rnacentral:lncRNA from 10 species
GUAGAUCAGAGGCAAAAAUUUCCUCUUGUGUCCUUAUUUUUGUUUCCUCUGUUGUUCUUGGAUUUCCCUAGAGAUUUCUUCUAAAUAAGGCCUGAGAUAUUCAGAUUACAGCUGUAAUUCCCUGUUGUUAUACAGAAGCCCUGUUGAUGCAGUGGUAAGGUGUGGAAAAGAAGUUUUCUAUAGUCCUAGGAUUAGUUCUCAGUCUUUUAGAGAGCCUGUGCCCCUGGGCUGUCAUCUUCACAUAUGCUUCUCAGUUGCCCUCCCUCUCCCAGUGAAAUCCGAGGCUAGUAGAAGCUAAAUUCAGGUGUUUCCCUUCCUCUAGAUUGGUUAGACUCUGGUAAAAUAAUUUGCCUUGAAGGCAGGCCUUGUUAAAAAGAACAGAAUGUUCUGGACAUAUUUAAAAAUGGCUACUUUCUCCCUCCCUGUGUCAGAAGCAUGAAGAGAUUUUCUUCCUACACUCACGAUGAGAACCUGGUGGAGCUCCUAAAGGUAAAACUUAUGAAGAUUGGCUCUCCUGAUGGUUGCACGAUGGCUGCAGCAGUUCCAGAUGUCCCAUCGAGACACAAAAAGAUCCCAGAUGGAAGAUGCCAUCUCCUCCUAUGUGCCUCUUUUUAAGAGUUACACAGGAGUGAGGAGGACCACCAAACCAAACUAAGACUCGGAGGAAAAAAAAAAAAGAAAAAGAAGAAAAUGUCUGCUAGGUGCCAUGCCACUCAAACAGCCAAUGGAAAGGCCCACGUGGCGAGAGCUAAGGCUUCCUGCCAACAGGCAAGUGAGGAAGCCCAGUCAGCUGCCUGCAGUCCUGACCCAUGAAGAGCCUGACUGAAAGUGAAUGAGCAACCCUGAGCUAGGACAACCCAGCAAGGCCCAUCCUGAAUUCCUGCCCACAAAAACUCUGAGACAGUAAAUGUUCGUUGUUUUAAACCACAAAGUUUUGAAGUAAUAGAUUAAUUAGGUAACCAAUUGGGACUGCAGUAUUCCUUCAGGGAACUUGAAUAGUCAUUCUGUAUAUGGAAAUUGUACACAUCUUAAAAUUGCUGGACUAAAGUGAGAAGAGACUGUCUUGAGUCAACUGGAUAAAGUGGAAAAAAAAUUAAUUUGGAAAUCAAUAGAAUUCUGGCCUUGGCUUUGUCACUAAGAAACACUUAUAAGUAAUUUCACUUCUCUUGAAAUUAUGAUCAUUAUCUAUAACAUAAAGGAACUGAGCUAAAUGUUAUCUGAUGCCUCUUUAGGCUCUCAAACUCCAUAGAUUUAUGACAUGCUUGAAAUUCACUUUGUUUCACCCUAAUUCAGAGCUUUGUUUCACUAGCUCUAGAAUUAGAUGCCUUGGGUUUAAAUUGCAAUUCAGUCACUUAUUUAAAUAAUUGUACUUGGAUGAGUGAUGUUGCCAUUUUAAGCCUCAGUUUCCCCAUAGAUUCAUUGAGAAGAUCAAAUAAGAUGAUGCAGAUAAAGCUCUUAGUUUGUGGGGACACUUAGUAAGUGCUUAAUAAAUACAGGCAGUUGUGUUAUCUAUGUUGUAGCAGCACAUUUUGUAAAAUAAAACAAAGUUGAAAUCACAGAUCUAUAUUUUUAUGUACUCUGUUGACAGUUUAGAGCUUAUUUGGCUUUUAACAUUUUUAUUAUUGUUUUGUUUAUUUAUCAUUAUUAUUAUUUUUUGAGACGGAGUCUUGCUCUGUCGCCUAGGCUGGAGUACAGUGGCGUGGUCUCUGCUCACUGCAACCCCCGCCUUCUGAGUUCAAGCUAUUCUCCUGCUUCAGCCUCUCCAGUAGCUGGGAUUACAGGCACGCGCCACCAGGCCCGGAUAAUUUUUGUAUUUUUAGUAGAGACAGGGUUUCACCAUGUUGGCCAGUCUGGUCUCGAACUCCUGACCUUGUGAUCUGCCCGCCUCAGCCUCCCAAAGUGCUGGGAUUAUAAGCAUGAGCCACUCCACCUGGCCUAUUAUCAUUUUUUGAGAUGGGGGCCUCUCUCCGUUGCUCAGGCUGAAGGACAGUAGCAUGAUCAUUGUUCACUGUAACCUUGAACUCAUGGGCUCAAAUAGUCCUCCCAACUCAGCCUCUUGAGUAGCUGGGACUACAGGUGCACAACACCAUGCCUAUCUUAACCUUUUAGAUUUUUUUUAUAGAGAUGGGGUCUUACAGUAUUGCUCAGGGUGGUCUUAAACUCCUGGCCUCAAGUGAUCCUUCCGCCUCAGCCUCCCAAAGUGCUGGGGUUAUAGGCAUGAGCCACCAUGCCCUGUUCGCUUUUAUAUAAUCAGUAUGUAAAGUGCAUUUUAUAGGGACUUGAAGCACACUUUUAUAAUUUUAAAAAUUGUAGAAAUUCAUAUGUGAAGUUUUGCCUUAUAAUGUAUUGUUGGUCAUACCCUGGAUCAGGAAGCCAACCCCAAAUUACAAUCUCAUUCCUACAAGAAGGUACAGUCUGCUGUAUGAAGAUCUAUUUUUACAUGUGUUUCUAGGAAUGCUUUGCAGCGGAGUUAGGUGGCCUAGACUUUCUUGAUUCUCCUGCAGAGCACAGCCUGCUGUAAAUACUCCAUUUUAUUUGCUUAAGCUUGGUUUGUUUUUGUUUUUGCCUUUUUUUAGUGUAAGAUAAAUAGAAAUCUAAGUCAGUUUCUGAUUGUGCCUAAUGGUCUGUUCUUUAAAAAUUGAGAUCAUUGUCCAACAGACACUCAGAUCUGGUUCGGCCGGUUUGGAAGUCUUUCUCUUCAGGUCUCUCUAACUCUUAGCAGUCCUCUGACAGGUUGCUGCCUUCCUCAUUUACAUCCAUAAUGCUAAGUUCCCUUUGGUCCAGGUCAGUAUUCUGGGAUGUUUCCAGAAUCAAUAUCUGAUGUUUCUAUUUGCUCUGGCACCUGCCAGUUUACUUGGGUAGGCCUCCAGUGUGGAACAGAACUAGAAUAUUGUGAGUUAUCCAUUUUUCUGCUGUACAGCCAGGGUCACCUGAGGCUGUAGACUGACUCUCCAGCUGGAAAAACAGAGUAUUCUGGACAAAUUCUUUGCCAAUGGCCAUGUGGUAGGCCUGGCGAUUGAGAGUCAAAAGAGUCCAAUUUCCUGUGCUCUCAGGUUUUGAAUUUUUAAAUAAAGCAUUGUUUUGUGUGCUAAAAUUUUAAAAUAUAAAGUAAGUUUUGUUGUUUCUUUUUUCUGUGAUUUUUUGCUGCCAUCUAUUCCCUUAUAGCCACAAAGCAGCUAUUCGGAAGCCUAUUGUUCUC